GAGUUACCUUUCGUGGAAGGGUAAGCAGAAAGCAACUACAAGAUCAUCAUUUCAAAACAAUAUGAAAGCAGAAUGGGAAAUGCCAUGGCAUGCUCCCUCUUUUCAGGUCUCCCAGGGUUUGGAUUUUCCUUGACAGAGCAUAGGGGAAGUGCUGAGUCCUCAGGCCCAUACCCAGAUGAAGAAGCACAGGCAUGAUCAAAGCUACAACUAUUAUAUCCAUCCGGGAUUUUCUUUUGUGAAUGAAAAGAAGAAAAGGGGUCAAUAAUGUGACCUUAGACUUACAGGCAAUAUGGACACUUUGGGGAAGUUAUGAAGUGUCUCCCAUUCCCGCUUGAGGUACUCAAUAGAGCCCACAAACACAAUGUGCUUGAGCUCGUGGUAAUGAAAGUUGCUGGCACGGAGCGGCAUCACCAGGUUCCGGAGGCCGAUCAGGGCUGAGCUGACAUCGCCAAAGAUGCAGACCACGACAUGGCCACUCAGGACGGUCAUAGCAGCUUCACUU
rnacentral:antisense_RNA from 1 species